UAGGGAAUCUUCCGCAAUGGACGAAAGUCUGACGGAGCAACGCCGCGUGAGUGAAGAAGGAUUUCGGUUUGUAAAACUCUGUAGUUAGGGAAGUAAAAAUGUAUAGUAACUAUAUACAAAAGAGACGGUACCUCACCAGAAAGCCACGGCUAACUACGUGCCAGCAGCCGCGGUAAUACGUAGGUGGCAAGCGUUGUCCGGAAUUAUUGGGCGUAAAGCGCGCGCAGGUGGUUUAGAAAGUCUGAUGUGAAAGCCCACGGCUCAACCGUGGAGAGUCAUUGGAAACUAAUAAACUUGAGUGCAGGAGAGAAAAGUGGAAUUCCUAGUGUAGCGGUGAAAUGCGUAGAGAUUAGGAGGAACACCGGUGGCGAAAGCGGCUUAGUGGCCUGGAACUGACACUGAGGCGCGAAAGAGUGGGGAGCAAACAGG
rnacentral:rRNA from 1 species